rnacentral:tRNA from 1 species
GCCCCUGUAGCUCAAGAGGAGAGAGCAUCGGACUUCUAAUCCGGAGGCUGCAGGUUCGAGUCCUGCCAGGGGCG